rnacentral:lncRNA from 1 species
AUGUCAGAAUUACAACCUGAGGUUACAGCACUGUGACACUUUCAAGCUCUUCAAGGUUUGUCAAGCACAGUUAAUUAUAUUUACUAGAAGUCUCUCACCUCUCAUACUCAUGCACCUUAAUCAUACACACAGUGGAAAUCUAUAAAGACCUUAGAAUAAAAGGAGCGCGUUUAAACACUGCCUUUAGAACACAAAGAUGUAUCUGUGAUUUUGAAAAUAAGAAAGUUUUAUUGUUUUCAUUUGACCCAGGUCUUGAGCAAGGGCUUCAGGGAGAGGCUCAGACAGAAGACCGGACACCACAGGGGAUGAUGCCAGAGGGCCCCUCAAAAACUUCUGGGCUCCCGAGUCUCCUAGUCACGCUUGAGGGUGAACCUUCCGGGGAGACCCUCCCCCAGCCCAGCCCGAAAAGUCUCACCUCCUCCUCUAGGAAGUGGUUCUCCAGGAAGUCACAGAGAUGGCUCUCUCCACGGGCACGCAGAUCCCGAAGGGCUUGGUUCAGGAUCUUCCCCAGAACCUUGGCGGCUUCCUUGGCCUCCAGGGUUUUACCCCCACUCCUCUCGCGAAGGCUUCUGUACUUUCCGGAAAAGGGCACGAAGCCGCCCCCUCCCCCGCGCUGUUUUUGCAUUUUCAAGGGAGGCUGGGUGAUCUCGCUUCUCCUUGCCAACGGGCAGAAGUGGCCCACGCCCUGCGGAGCCACACCCUCCAGGCCAGAUAGAAGCCCAGAGAAAGGCAGACAAGUACAUCUGUGUGAGGGACUCCUGGGUUCAAAUAUUUUCUGCUCCUCUCACAUAUGGACCUUUGUCAAGAGCAGCUGCCCUGAAUUCUCCAGCAGAUGGAAGUUCAUCUCUUCCAUGACAUCUGUUUUGCCAUUUUGCUCCAUAGCUAUUCAAGACUUUCAAGCACUGCUCUGUAUGCUCUUCCUAGAGAUUUCCUCUGCUUCAGAUGCAGUGAUGAGAAUGUCCGCCUCUGUGCUUCUUCAGUGACAAUGACACACCCACAACACCCCCUGAGCUCCACCCUGCUUUCAGUAGCUGCCUCUGCAUGCUACCUCACUUCUGUGUUCUUCCAUAGUUUUUCUGAUGAUGAAACAGUGGAGUGAUUACUUUCCAUCCUAUACAUCUCAAUUAGGUCUUGGUUAAAAAUAGAUUUUCCCUUGCAAGAAACAUGAAUGUAAUGGUGCCUUUUGUGUCACACUAUUAAAUAUCUUCCCUGGAAGAACCAUCUCAGGAAUCUAUGCUUUAACAUUUUCAUGGUCACAGUUAUUCAUGCUAUCCUUGUCUUUUAGAGAUAUAAAGAGGCAUUUUAAACGCAAUAAGCAUCAGUGAAUUUCAGAUUCAGUCUGUCCAGUUAACGCUAAAACAAUUAAGUAAAAAUAUAUACAUAUGUACAUUUAUACAUACAUAAAAAUAAUUAAAAUAUAACAAGAAAGCCCAUAUAGAAGAUCACAUGGCUAUGAAUUACUCUUUUUCACUCUCCCAGUAAUUGUCAAGAUUUUCAAAAAGAAAACAUGCUACAAGUAUUUCCAUAUACUUUAAUAUGAAAUAUAAUUUAUAAAUACCCUGAUAUAUGUAGCUAUGGACAGUACAGAUACAGACACAGAUAUAGAUCAGUCAAGGUUUCUUCAAGAAUGUAGAAGACUAUAUAUUACAAAAAUAGCAAAGGUGAGAGGAAUCACUUACCAACAAUUUCAGCCAGUGGUGUGAAGACAGGUGGCUCUUAAUAACUCUCUAAAAAGUUGCUGCAAUUUACAAGGGUCUUUGGGAAGUCUUCACAAAUUUUGUGGUUUGGGCCACAAAAGUGAACAGUUAUCCAGAUAACCAACUGUGAACUUAAUAUCGGUAUCUGCCUGAGACACCUCUUUCUUCCUCGUGUACAAAUCUUGUUAGAUUACUUCUCAUUGAUAAAUUCUGGAAAAGCAUAAAGUGAUGGUGAACUUCCAAGAGACCACCCAGGACAAACAUACAUACAGAAAAAUUGAAGAAAAUUGAAAUGUCCAUACAGCUGAGCAGUAAAUUAUAAAGCAACCACCAAUGGAAGUACCGAUCAGAUAAAAAAAAAUAAAACAAAAGUGACAUUGCCA